CCUACGGGAGGCAGCAGUGGGGAAUAUUGCACAAUGGGGGGAACCCUGAUGCAGCAACGCCGCGUGGGUGAUGAAGUACUCCGGUAUGUAAAGCCCUGUCAGCAGGGAAGAAAAUGACGGUACCUGCCCAAGAAGCCGCGGCUAACUACGUGCCAGCAGCCGCGGCAAUACGUCGGGGGCAAGCGUUAUCCGGAUUUACGGGGCGUAAAGGGAGCGUAGACGGGAAUGCAAGUCUGGAGUGAAAGCCCGUGGCCCAAACACGGGACUGCUUUGGAAACUGGGUGUCUGGAGUGCAGGAGGGGUAAGCGGAAUGCCUAGUGUAGCGGUGAAAUGCAUAGAUAUUAGGAGGAACACCGGUGGCGAAGGCGGCUUGCGGGACUGUAACUGACGUUGAGGCACGAAGGCGUGGGUAGCAAACAGGAUUAGAUACCCGGGUAGUC
rnacentral:rRNA from 1 species